UUAAUGCUUAUAUUUUGUAACGAAAAAUUGUAGAAUACGUAUACGCGUAAGGUGGGCUAUGCUGUCAUCCCAACUUUUGAAUGCCUAUAAAUAAAGAAGCCCUUCACCCACUUCUCUUCAUCAAAUCCCUAACAAACAUUUCAAAAAAAAAAACAACAAAAAGAGGUGAUUACACAAAAAAAAUGGCAGGAUUGAUAAAAAAGAUUGAGGAGACUCUCCACAUAGGUGACCACAAGGGUAAGCACCAAGGGGAUCACAAGGGCAAACAUGAAGGAGACCACCACAAGGCCGGUGAACACAAUAAAGACCACAAGAAGGGUGAGCACAAAGAAGGACUCGUGGACAAGAUAAAGGAAAAGAUCCAUGGAGAUAAGCAUGUUGAUGGAGAUAAGCAUGUUGAUGGAGAUAAGAAGAAGAAGAAGGAAAAGAAGAAGCACGAGCAUGAGUCUGGCCAUGAAUGUGGUCAUAGCAGCAGCAGUGACAGUGAUUAAAUCUCAUUCUAUUCAAUAUUUAGUUUACUGAAGUGUCAACAUAUCCUAGCUCACCUUUGUUGGAGAACUUGGAAGAAGAAAUCUUUUUUUUUUCUUUUUUUGUGUAAAAGUUAAUUAUCAAGUUUGAUGUUUUUCAUGUUGUGAUGUAUCAUCCUAUCGUGCAUGCAACCCUCAUAUGCAGGGAGUGAAUGUUAAUAAUAUAUGUGUUUUAUGAAUUAAA